CGCUGGCGGCAUGCCUUACACAUGCAAGUCGAACGGCAGCACGGGAGCAAUCCUGGUGGCGAGUGGCGAACGGGUGAGUAAUAUAUCGGAACGUGCCCAGUCGUGGGGGAUAACGUAGAGAAAUUUACGCUAAUACCGCAUACGAUCUAAGGAUGAAAGCGGGGGACUCGCAAGGGCCUCGCGCGAUUGGAGCGGCUGAUAUCAGAUUAGGUUGUUGGUGAGGUAAAAGCUCACCAAGCCGACGAUCUGUAGCUGGUUUGAGAGAACGACCAGCCACACUGGGACUGAGACACGGCCCAGACUCCUACGGGAGGCAGCAAUGGGGAAUUUUGGACAAUGGGCGAAAGCCUGAUCCAGCAAUGACGCGUGCAGGAAGAAGGCCUUCGGGUUGUAAACUGCUUUUGUACGGAACGAAACGGCUCUUUCUAAUAAAGAGGGCUAAUGACGGUACCGUAAGAAUAAGCACCGGCUAACUACGUGCCAGCAGCCGCGGUAAUACGUAGGGUGCGAGCGUUAAUCGGAAUUACUGGGCGUAAAGCGUGCGCAGGCGGUUAUGUAAGACAGUUGUGAAAUCCCCGGGCUCAACCUGGGAAUUGCAUCUGUGACUGCAUGGCUAGAGUACGGUAGAGGGGGAUGGAAUUCCGCGUGU
rnacentral:rRNA from 1 species